rnacentral:rRNA from 1 species
AGGCGGCCAUACUGGAGGGGGUACACCCGGAUCCAUUCCGAACCCGGCAGUUAAGCCCUCAGAGGCCGAUGAUACUGAGACCAGUGGGUUUUGGGAAAGUAGGUAGCUGCCU